rnacentral:rRNA from 1 species
CCAACCGGGAUUGCCUUAGUAACGGCGAGUGAAGCGGCAAAAGCUCAAAUUUGAAAUCUGGCGUCUUCGACGUCCGAGUUGUAAUUUGAAGAAGGCGACUUUGUAGCUGGUCCUUGUCUAUGUUCCUUGGAACAGGACGUCAUAGAGGGUGAGAAUCCCGUGUGGCGAGGAUCCCAGUUAUUUGUAAAGUGCUUUCGACGAGUCGAGUUGUUUGGGAAUGCAGCUCUAAGUGGGUGGUAAAUUCCAUCUAAAGCUAAAUAUUGGCGAGAGACCGAUAGCGAACAAGUACAGUGAUGGAAAGAUGAAAAGAACUUUGAAAAGAGAGUGAAAAAGUACGUGAAAUUGUUGAAAGGGAAGGGCAUUUGAUCAGACAUGGCGUUUGCUUCGGCUUUCGCUGGGCCAGCAUCAGUUUUAGCGGUUGGAUAAAUCCUCGGGAAUGUGGCUCUGCUUCGGUAGAGUGUUAUAGCCCGUGGGAAUACAGCCAGCUGGGACUGAGGAUUGCGACUUUUGUCAAGGAUGCUGGCGUAAUGGUUAAAUGCCGCCCGU